rnacentral:rRNA from 1 species
UACGUAGGGGGCAAGCGUUAUCCGGAUUUACUGGGUGUAAAGGGAGCGUAGGCGGGAGAGCAAGUCGACUGUGAAAUCUAUGGGCUUAGCCCAUAGCUGCGAUCGAAACUGUUCAUCUUGAGUGAAGUAGAGGCAGGCGGAAUUCCUAGUGUAGCGGUGAAAUGCAUAGAUAUCACGCAGAACUCCGAUUGCGAAGGCAGCGUACCGGCGCCCUACUGACGCUGAAGCACGAAGGCGUGGGUAUCGAACAGG